UACAGAGGGUGCGAGCGUUGUCCGGAAUCACUGGGCGUAAAGGGCGCGUAGGUGGCUUGAUAAGUAGGGGGUGAAAUCUCGCGGCUCAACUGCGAGGCUGCCUCCUAAACUGUCGGGCUUGAGCAGAGUAGAGGCAGGUGGAAUUCCCGGUGUAGCGGUGGAAUGCGUAGAGAUCGGGAAGAACAUCGGUGGCGAAGGCGGCCUGCUGGGCUCUUGCUGACACUGAGGCGCGACAGCGUGGGGAGCAAACAGG
rnacentral:rRNA from 1 species